rnacentral:lncRNA from 10 species
CCACUGCACUCCAGCCUGGGGAACAAAGCAAGACUCCGUCUCAAAAGGAAAAAAAAAUAUAUGGUCAGAUUUAACGUAUGCAUUUAAAAGGACAAAAAUUCUGCAUUAAGAACUUGGGAGAGGGGUUAAAAAAACUCAAAUUUAACUGUUUAAAGAGCUCCUAAGAAAAGCAUUGCGAUAUUUUGAUAAAAGAUCAAAAACAUUCUAAUAGACAAUUUUUUAAAAUAUGGCUUUACUUUUGCCUAAUGUUGCAUUGGGUUCAUUCAUUACAAUAAAACUUAUUGGCCGGACACGGUGGUUCACGCCUGUAAUCCCAGCACUUUGGGAGUCUGAGGCAGGUGGAUCACCUGAGGUCGUGGGUUCGAGACCAGCCUAACCAACGUGGAGAAGCCCCGCCUCUACUAGAAAUACAAAAUUAGACGGGCAUGGUGGCACAUGCCUGUAAUCCCAGCUACUUGGGAGGCUAAGGCAGGAGAACUGCUUGAACCCAGGAAGCAGAGGUUGCACUCCAGCCUGGGCAACAAGAGCGAAACUCCGUCUCAAAAAAAUACAAAACUUACUGAGAGCUUACCAUGUAUCAGGCACUGUGAUUGAUGCUACCAUACAACAUAGUGCUUAUAAUUAACAAUACUGUAAUAUAUACUUAAAAUAUAUUUUUAUUAUUAAUAAAAAUAUUUUUUAAGUAUAUGUUACAGAUAAAUCUUACAUGUAAGUUUUUAAAUCACAAAACAAUAGAGGCUGAGAGGAAAUUUUGGGCAUGAUAUGUUUAUGGCAUUGUGAUGGGUUCAUG